UCCCCGUUAGCUCAGUUGGCAGAGCGUCUGACUGUUAAUCAGAAUGUCGCUGGUUCAAGUCCAGCACGGGGAGCAA
rnacentral:tRNA from 1 species